rnacentral:rRNA from 1 species
AGAGUUUGAUCCUGGCUCAGAUUGAACGCUGGCGGCAUGCCUUACACAUGCAAGUCGAACGGCAGCACGGGAGCUUGCUCCUGGUGGCGAGUGGCGAACGGGUGAGUAAUAUAUCGGAACGUACCCUAGAGUGGGGGAUAACGCAGCGAAAGUUGCGCUAAUACCGCAUACGAUCUACGGAUGAAAGUGGGGGAUCGCAAGACCUCAUGCUCAUGGAGCGGCCGAUAUCUGAUUAGCUAGUUGGUGGGGUAAAGGCCUACCAAGGCAUCGAUCAGUAGCUGGUCUGAGAGGACGACCAGCCACACUGGAACUGAGACACGGUCCAGACUCCUACGGGAGGCAGCAGUGGGGAAUUUUGGACAAUGGGGGCAACCCUGAUCCAGCAAUGCCGCGUGAGUGAAGAAGGCCUUCGGGUUGUAAAGCUCUUUUGUCAGGGAAGAAACGGUGAGGGCUAAUAUCCUUUGCUAAUGACGGUACCUGAAGAAUAAGCACCGGCUAACUACGUGCCAGCAGCCGCGGUAAUACGUAGGGUGCAAGCGUUAAUCGGAAUUACUGGGCGUAAAGCGUGCGCAGGCGGUUAUGUAAGUCAGAUGUGAAAUCCCCGGGCUCAACCUGGGAAUGGCAUUUGAGACUGCAUGGCUAGAGUGUGUCAGAGGGGGGUAGAAUUCCACGUGUAGCAGUGAAAUGCGUAGAGAUGUGGAGGAAUACCGAUGGCGAAGGCAGCCCCCUGGGAUAACACUGACGCUCAUGCACGAAAGCGUGGGGAGCAAACAGGAUUAGAUACCCUGGUAGUCCACGCCCU